UCGGCUGGCCAAGAUCCCGCCAGGUUACUAGGGCAGCGUGAGAAAGCCGUGUGAGUCUGCUGGAAUGCAGGAGGCCUUCGAGUGCAGAUGCUCAAUAAAUACUGAUUGAUAACAACUCAUAUUUAGUGCUAUAACGAAGAUUAGUAAAAUUAAUUGGAAACACAUUUAAUGUUAGCGUGGUUGGUAUGAUUCAUGGCUAACACAUAAAAACCAAAGUAAAAGUCAAGUUUUACACGUCCUCUCUUCUCUUUUUUUAAGGACUUUAGUGGAGAUGAGCUGUCACUCGCUAUUAAAAGUUCAAAGUCAAAUUUGCAGUCCACUUCUGGCAAGGAAGACAGAGCUGCGUGAGGCCAUAUACAUGUUACCUCCUAAAAGAAUUGUGAACCAAGAAAAGCAAGAGCCCAGCUUGAUGAGUUCCACUGACCU
rnacentral:lncRNA from 1 species